GAUGAACGCUGGCGGCGUGCCUAAUACAUGCAAGUCGAACGCACAGCGAAAGGUGCUUGCACCUUUCAAGUGAGUGGCGAACGGGUGAGUAACACGUGGACAACCUGCCUCAAGGCUGGGGAUAACAUUUGGAAACAGAUGCUAAUACCGAAUAAAACUCAGUGUCGCAUGACACAAAGUUAAAAGGCGCUUUGGCGUCACCUAGAGAUGGAUCCGCGGUGCAUUAGUUAGUUGGUGGGGCAAAGGCCUACCAAGACAAUGAUGCAUAGCCGAGUUGAGAGAGUGAUCGGCCACAUUGGGCCUGAGACACGGCCCAAACCACUACGGGAGGCUGCAGUAGGGAAUCUUCCACAAUGGGCGAAAGCCUGAUGGAGCAACGCCGCGUGUGUGAUGAAGGCUUUCGGGUCGUAAAGCACUGUUGUAUGGGAAGAACAGCUAGAAUAGGGAAUGAUUUUAGUUUGACGGUACCAUACCAGAAAGGGACGGCUAAAUACGUGCCAGCAGCCGCCGUAA
rnacentral:rRNA from 1 species